CCUACGUGAGGCAGCAGUGAGGAAUAUUGGUCAAUGGGCGCGAGCCUGAACCAGCCAAGUAGCGUGAAGGAUGACUGCCCUACGGGUUGUAAACUUCUUUUAUAAAGGAAUAAAGUGAGGCACGUGUGCCUUUUUGUAUGUACUUUAUGAAUAAGGAUCGGCUAACUCCGUGCCAGCAGCCGCGGUAAUACGGAGGAUCCGAGCGUUAUCCGGAUUUAUUGGGUUUAAGGGGAGCGUAGAUGGGUUGUUAAGUCAGUUGUGAAAGUUUGCGGCUCAACCGUAAAAUUGCAAUUGAUACUGGCAGUCUUGAGUACAGUUGAGGUAGGCGGAAUUCGUGGUGGAGCGGUGAAAUGCUUAGAUAUCACGAAGAACUCCGAUUGCGAAGGCAGCUUACUAAACUGCCACUGACAUUGAUGCUCGAAAGUGUGGGUAUCAAACAGGAUUAGAUACCCGAGUAGUC
rnacentral:rRNA from 1 species